ensembl:lncRNA
AUGCAAAAAGAUCUGCAGGUAGAUGUUUCAAGUCUAUUUCUUUUCUCCACAGAAUUCAAAUUCACCAAGAAGAUCCAAAUCCUUAAAACACAAAAAUGGAGUGAGGAUGACCGACUGACGACGAUCCGUGCUCGUCCUUCAGCUUUGCUGGGCUCCAAGCGGCGCGGCGAGAACCAGGAGAGUUCGUUUGUGUUGCUAAGAGAUGAGUCGUUUCCACAGUAACACUGCUGUCGAUGGGAGGCCCCUCCAGUCACUACCCACAAUGCCGUUUGGCUCACCUUGAGAAGCAGAUGCAUGACCCUUGAACUGACCGGCAGAAGCGACAUCAAUUAGCUUCAUCAUUCAGUUUACACGAGUGUUGUUUGUUUUAAUUUUUUUAUAUAAAUUCGUCUGGAAUAUUUUGCACAAUGAAUCGAUGUUGUGUUGAUCGUCUCGUCUUGACACCGUAGCUUGAUAGUUCUUCAGCCUGACCGUGUGGAACGUGCACAAUAAGGGAAGCUCUCAGGAAGGACGUGGGCAGGGCCAUUGGUUACAGUGGCAGGUGGGAGUGGCUGAUCGCGGAGUGAUGGAUGCCUCCCUUCACAAAGACUGAUUCUUUUUUUUUUCUUCUUCUUCUUUCUCAUUCUGAGGAUGUUUGUAAGAGAAGGAACCAUAAAGUCAGGACUGAUAAAUCAUCAAUCACUAUGCUGCUUUUCACCUGUUCUCAAGGCUUAAGAACUGCAACGCCUUGACGAAUAAUUAUGAUCUUCACACUUUUACAGGAAAAAAAAAAAUUAAAUGAAUCUUUGGGACUGUAUAUGGACACUUGAACUUGCCACUGACAGAAAGGCAUACCUAUUCCUUUGAGGGGAACGAAUCAAGGCUUGAGCUCCUCCUUUUAUCGUUUUGCAUUUUCGGUCUUGUUUCUGUGUACUAGAUGUUUACAGUGUAAGGAAUCGUGUGUCUUCACUGUGUUGUAACUGUACAUAUUUGACUAGGUGAAAAAUGCUGCUAUCCUGGCCAUGAGCUGUAUGCUUGUGGACAUGUCCCGUGUAAUAAACGAUCAGAACCAUGAACGUGUGUAGUCCCUGA